UACGUAGGGUGCUAGCGUUGUUCGGAAUCAUUGGGCGUAAAGCGCGUGCAGGCUGUUAGUUAAGUCGGGUGUGAAAUCCCUGGGCUCAACCGAGGAAGUGCAUCCGAAACUAGCUAGCUAGAGAGUGGUAGAGGAAGGUGGAAUUCCAAGUGUAGAGGUGAAAUUCGUAGAUAUUUGGAGGAAUACCGGUGGCGAAGGCGGUCUUCUGGACCAUUUCUGACGCUGAGACGCGAAAGCGUGGGGAGCAAACAGG
rnacentral:rRNA from 1 species